rnacentral:rRNA from 1 species
GAUGAACGCUAGCUACAGGCUUAACACAUGCAAGUCGCGGGGCAGCAUGGGGGUUGCUUGCAAUCCCCGAUGGCGACCGGCGCACGGGUGAGUAACGCGUAUCCAACCUGCCCUUCACCACGGGAUAACCCGGCGAAAGUCGGACUAAUACCGUAUGUUGUCCAUUGACGGCAUCCGAUUUGGACGAAAGGUUUGGCGGUGAAGGAUGGGGAUGCGUCCGAUUAGCUGGACGGCGGGGUGACGGCCCACCGCGGCGACGAUCGGUAGGGGUUCUGAGAGGAAGGUCCCCCACACUGGAACUGAGACACGGUCCAGACUCCUACGGGAGGCAGCAGUGAGGAAUAUUGGUCAAUGGGCGUAAGCCUGAACCAGCCAAGUAGCGUGCAGGAUGACGGCCCUAUGGGUUGUAAACUGCUUUUAUGCGGGGAUAAAGUGGCCCACGUGUGGGUUUUUGCAGGUACCGCAUGAAUAAGGACCGGCUAAUUCCGU